AAUUGUUAUGCUAUUAGAUUAUUCUUAAAUCAUGAACUUAGAACGAAAUGUUUAUUCAGUUAUAAUCAUUCAAUAACAUAGUGUUAUUAUCUUUUAUUCAACUAAUCCUUAGUUGAUGUCCGUUGAACUCCAAAUUACCUUGAAUUGUAUCCAAACCAAACAGACUUUGGAGCAGACUUGUACUCUAAAUACUGAGACGAACAACCCUAUUUUUAGGGGUUGCACCUAGUUUUAUACUUUGUGCUGAAAUGUUUGUAUACAAUACAUGUACAAAGGAUUGAUACCCCUAAGUACCUUUGAGUCCUUGUAGUCGUAUGAUUGUUAUAGUUAAAGUUGAAAGAUUACUUAUAACUGUGGACAAGGUUCGUGGUUAUUAAACCCUCCGUGAAUGUUUUGAUUAAUGGAAUGUUAAUAGAACAUAUUGUUCAGUUCUAUUAAGCCUAGUAUUUAUCAAGUGAUGUAAAGGUUAAAGCUUUAUUUAUUGUUAUUUUAGUUACUCACUCUUGCCUGUAAAAUUUCUUACACCUAAAGCUGAUAAGGGUGACUUACCUAGCACCAGUAAGGGAAAAUGAAAGAUAAACAAGUACUGAAGACUUGUAAUAGUUUUGAUAGUUUUAUUAUCAGACUUUGGUUUAAAGAUUGUAAUGAAGUUUAUUUAAUUUUCCACAUGAAUGAUUUUUGUAAAGGUUAGAUAACCUUGGAGAUUUUAUUUAAUGUAAUCAUGUAUGGGCAAGUUUAUUUAUUCAAUUAUAUUAUGAUUGGGUAGUUAGAUAUGAAUGUUUUGAUUAAGUGAACACCAAAUCUUGAGGAAAUGACGUUUCGGUAUUUAGGGGUGUCACAAGUUGGUAUCAAAGCUUUAGGUUAUGAACUUUAGGUGGGGGAAAAGCCUUAGGAAGUAACCUUUGAAAAGAUAGUUGAGAUCUCUUAUCGAGUUUUAAGGAAGAAGUAAUAACACACUUAUGUGCUUAUGUGUUUAUAACUUAUGUGCUCGUGAGUGUCGAGUAGAAUGAUUAAUAAUUAAAAAUUUGUUGUCAGGAUGACUAAUGUUGGAG
rnacentral:lncRNA from 1 species